CCUGAUCCAGCUGUAGGUGUUCAGUGCAGGGGAGUUGGACUAGAAGAUCUUUAAGGGGCCCUUUCAACUUAAAUGAUUCUGAUUUAAUGAUUCUGUACCAGAGGUGGUAUACCAUCUCUUCCUUUUUCUUGCCUUCAGUAUGGAGGAAAAAAUCAAAUCCUUUUUGAGAGCUCCCAUCAUUUUGAACUGAGACCCAUGUGUUUUUCUCACAUUCCUUCUUUCUUCCCAGCGCUUUUCCCCCAGUUUUUAUAGAUCAAAAUUAAAUGAGUCUGAAUGCUUCUGUUUAAUUUUUUUUUUGUUCUUAUAAAAAAAAAGAGAAUUAAACUUUGAGAAUUCUGCUGCAAAGUGCUAAAUUUGUUUCCUAGAUCCAUAACUCAUCAAAUGGCUGAGUGAUAGCUGUGUCGUAAAUGGCUUUAGCAUUCUGUGAAUGAAUUUGAUAUUAAUUUUGAAGCAGAAUUCAAUACCUUGAAGAUUUCUUGCCUAGGGAUAUUUGUGCCUUCAAGGUUCAUGAGCCAUGCCAUUGCUUAAUGGAAUAAACCUAUUCUGUGUACUAUUUAUGGAUUUUAUUUAAAAAAAAAAAAAAAAGCUAAAUAAAAUAUGCAUAACAAACAUAUUGCUGAAUGCAUCACAGUUUUACUAACCUAAGGUCAUAUCUGAAAAUAAAUCUUUGAUCAAAUAAGACUUAUUUUCUAAUUAAUACAAGAGGCAAUUAAGCCCAAUUAAGAAGUUGUCUAUGGGAGGAAUGGUUGUGAUUUUGUUUUAUUCAGGCUGAACUGAGAAUGGGAGUCCAGUUAACAGAGAAGUGAUACCCUCCAACACGGCAGUCAUCACUACAGUUCAUUGAUCUCUCUGAUGAAGGGCACUUGUAUAUAUAGGAUGAAAAUACUCAUAGGAUCUAACUGUCCAUUCUCAUCCUCAAUCUAGUCAGAUUAAAUCACUCAAGCACAUAGUAUAUGAUUUUUGACUCAGCUAAGGAAAAGUAUAGCAAUUUCAGGGCUCACAGCACCUUUCAGUUUAACCCUUACAUCUCCUGAUCUCUUAUUAUAUGUCUUUUUUUUUUUUUUUUUUUUUUUUUUUUUUAACCCUGCCAUUUCCUUAUCAGUCCUAUUUUAUCUGGAUACUCUUUUAAACAAAAUUAAUACAAUCCAAUGAAAAUUAACUCUCCUAUUAAAGGUAUCAUCCAUCUUUCCUGUCUUUUCCCUGACAGAUACACUGGUGAAAAUUAAAGAAAUAAAAAAUGAGAGGUAUCGUUCUUGUAUCACAUGAAAAACAGGAAAAAAGAGCUUAAGCUUCUGCUUUAUUUCUUAGCACAUGCAAGUUAUAUAGUUAAUUUUCUCAAACCAUAUGCUAGAGGCUUGGCUGAGGCUUGCAAUCCAUGUGGCAUUUCUUACCACACUAUAAUAUGAUCAGGCUGCUUUUGGCACCUCUUUCCAAAAGAAGCAGCUGAACAUGGUCCUGUGUUUUGCUGAUGGCAUCAGGAGAGGGUGUUGCUUCCCUUCAGUGAGUUCCUUGCACCCGCAUUUGCACUGUGUUGUGAUCACAGUUCUCAACCUAGGAGCACCUGAAUGGCUUCAAUGUUGCCAGUCCUGCCAAGAUUGGCUGCAGAUCACAGAUCUUUCAAGGGGAAAAAUGUCCUACUGUGGGAGGAUGAACAAUUCAUAUUCUCUGAGAAAAUGUACACAGUACUCACAGGUAGUGCCUCAACAAUGCAUAGAACAAACUCCUCAUCUAAUGAAUUAACACUAUGAUUUUUCUAAUAACAGUUACUUCCAAGUCCGGACUUUUUGCUGACAAGUAGUUUUGAACAUAUAUAUAUAUACAUGCAUGGCACGCCUCAGUGCAGUUUGACUAUAAAUGUAGGUCCAAUGCUUAUAAAUAUAAAGAGUGGGUGUCAAGAGAAUAGGGCUAGGCUCUUUUCAGUGGUAUCCAGAAACAGGACAAGGGGUAAUGGGCACAAACUGAAACACAGGAAAUUCCAGACAAACAUGAGGAAAAACCUUAACUUAAGGGUGAGCACUAGAACAAGUUGCUCAGAGAUGUUGUGGAGUCUCCUCUGGAGAUAUUCAGAACCUGCCUGGAUGCUGAACAUACUGUAGGGAACUGGCUUUAACAGGGGUUGGAGUCAAUGAUCUCCAGAGGUCCAAACCCUAUAGUUCAAUCUCACUAUCUGGAAACUUUGCUUCUAUUCUUUCAGGCUAGAAUCUUGGUAUGAAGUCAAUAUGACAAAAAGUAAUAUCCACCCAAGUGUAGAUACUCAAACAGUUGAUCCAUAACUGAGUGACAUUUGGAAUUAUGCAUUAAAAUCUGAGGCAAAAUUUUAACUUUAUUGGGCGUUAGAGGGCCACUGAUGUGAGACACUGAUGAUCACUGAUGUGAGAGGGCACCGAUGUGCCACAGAGACACUGAUGUGAGAAAACACAGAAGCGAUAUCAAGAAAAACAUUGUAUCCUCAGGAUCUGGCACUCAAACACACCAAAAUAAGUUUUUUAAAAAAUUAAAUAAAUAAAAUCUGAAAGACAGUUUUAAACAAGCCAGUGUAUAGCUGGUUCAACAGACAGUGCAGGUGUAGACUUAAACAUUCUCCAGACAAGUUAAUUGAUUUAGGAAAGUCAUUACUUACAUCUCUUGAGUUUAGUAAUGGGAGACCUGAGGAGUUUAAAAGCAUAUCAGAUUUCUAAAAGACUGAUUCUGGACUGCAUUUCAAAGUACAUCAAAUACUGCUAUACCUCCAUAGGAUAUCUGAUCCCUACCAUGCAGCAAGCAGGCAGGGCUGUUACAGCAGCACAGGGGUUCUGACCAGGCUUUUCCUCAUGCUGCUUUUACUUAGGAUAAUCACCCAUACAAGAGCCAUCGAUGUUUAAGGUCACAUUGUUCUUCUUCCUCUGGCUUAACCGUAGCCUCCCCAGAGCCAAAGCCCCAUCCUAAGUAGGCUGGAUCUGCCCCAAAAGGGAGAGGACACAGGCAGUAUCUGCUGAGCUCAGGCUGGUACUGAUGCCCCAGUACCCAGUACAUCACCAGGGGAGAGCAAUACUACCUUUGAAAUGCUCUGACAAAUUUAGGAUGUUUUCUAUGUUGUUUGUUUGUUUGGUUGGUUGUUUUGUUUUGUUUUGUUUUGUUUGGCAGGUGUGUUGCUGGUGGAAGAGCCUGUAGAAGAGAAGGCUUUGCACAAGACUACAUGCGGCAACAUUUGGGAUGUAAAUGCAUUAGAAAACCACCCACCUAGGCUGGCUUUUCAGGCUACAACUUUUACUGAUGCCAUCAUACCCAAACUCUCUAACCUGCUAUCAGAAGGCAAAAUGUGCCUGUGGAGCCUUUUGGUCUUCCCUGGGGAACUGAAGACAGGGGAAGAUCUGGGCACAUCCUCUGAGUAAACCACAGCUGAAGAGGUUUUCAAACUGUUCAUGCUUCAGAACACUGGAAGACUCCAGUAGGAAUAACUAUAAACCUACUCAUUACAGUCUGCAGAUCUCCUAGUGUGGGUACCUGUCCCAGAAGAGAAGAACUACAUCCCCCAAAGGACUGCUCACUGUUCUGUUACCAUUUCUGCUCAGAGGGGAGGAUAGAAGUCAUUCAGAUCUCUUGAACUCCCCCUUCCUUCUUGAUCUCAGUAGCAUAGGUGCUCCCUACAUCGUCUCACCUCAGCAUUAGAGUAAGGCCUUUGACUUUUGGACGCUCACUUUCAUUUUGUAUGAUUUAUAAGCUCCAAUUCUAAUUAUAUUGUAUCAUAUUGUAUUACAGUGUGUUAUCUUGCAUUCUGAUAUCUUAUUUAGUAAAUUUGUUUGUUUCUCCUCAUAUCGUUGCCACUGUUUUACUUUUAGGCUCAUCUCUCUACCCUUUUCCUUUUUUUCCCUUUUACCUUUCAGGGCAUGGAUCCAGGGGUCCCUCUGCCCCAGUAGUCACAGAACCAGGUCGAACCAGCCUGUAAGCCAUUGACAGGGUAGCAUAAAAUCCACCAUCUCUUGAAAAACAAAUUAAAAUAUAUUAGCUCCCAUUGAGUUCCAUUUUUUGUUUCCAUCUAAUUCGCAGACCUUAACAGCAGUUUCACUAUGUUACAUUUUAGAGGACUGACAAAACUUAUCAUUGGUAAGAAGACAUUCAGUUUAAAGCAGGAUAAACAGUUUUGCAGAGCUGAGCUAAAAGAAGUGGCAAUUAAAAUGCAUCUGCUAUGAUGGAAUGAACUUUAUUUAAGAUGUUAAUAAUGAUAUUGGAAGUCAUGCAUGAAGCUUUAUUCCUUAUGCAUGGACAAA